rnacentral:rRNA from 1 species
UCGGGUUGUAAAGCACUUUUGUCCGGAAAGAAAACUUCUGCCCUAAUACGGCGGGAGGAUGACGGUACCGGAAGAAUAAGCACCGGCAACUACGUGCCAGCAGCCGCGGUAAUACGUAGGGUGCGAGCGUUAAUCGGAAUUACUGGGCGUAAAGCGUGCGCAGGCGGUUCGUUAAGACAGAUGUGAAAUCCCCGGGCUUAACCUGGGAACUGCAUUUGUGACUGGCGAGCUAGAGUAUGGCAGAGGGGGGUAGAAUUCCACGUGUAGCAGUGAAAUGCGUAGAGAUGUGGAGGAAUACCGAUGGCGAAGGCAGCCCCCUGGGCCAAUACUGACGCUCAUGCACGAAAGCGUGGGGAGCAAACAGGAUUAGAUACCCUGGUAGUCCACGCCCUAAACGAUGUCAACUAGUUGUUGGGUCUUCAUUGACUUAGUAACGUAGCUAACGCGUGAAGUUGACCGCCUGGGGAGUACGGUCGCAAGAUUAAAACUCAAAGGAAUUGACGGGGACCCGCACAAGCGGUGGACGAUGUGGAUUAAUUCGAUGCAACGCGAAAAACCUUACCUACCCUUGACAUGGUCGGAACCCUGCUG